AGAGUUUGAUCCUGGCUCAGAACGAACGCUGGCGGCAGGCUUAACACAUGCAAGUCGAACGCCCCGCAAGGGGAGUGGCGCACGGGUGAGUAAUACUUGGGAACGUGCCUUAGAGUCUGGGAUAACCACGGGAAACUGUGGCUAAUACCGGAUAUUCUCUUCGGAGGAAAGAUUUAUCGCUCUAAGAUCGGCCCAAGCCAGAUUAUGGUAGUUGGUGGGGUAAAAGCCUACCAAGCCUACGAUCUGUAGCUGGUCUGAGAGGACGACCAGCCACACUGGAACUGAGACACGGUCCAGACUCCUACGGGAGGCAGCAGUGGGGAAUAUUGGACAAUGGGCGCAAGCCUGAUCCAGCCAUGCCGCGUGAGUGAUGAAGGCCUUAGGGUUGUAAAGCUCUUUUGUCAGGGAAGAUGAUGACGGUACCUGAAGAAUAAGCACCGGCUAACUUCGUGCCAGCAGCCGCGGUAAUAC
rnacentral:rRNA from 1 species